rnacentral:lncRNA from 1 species
AAAAGCUCAGUUUAGGGUUUAAAACCCUAAUACUGGCUAAAAGGAAAAAGUUCAGUUUAGGGUUUAAAACCCUAAUGCUGACUAAAAGGAAAAUUCAGUUUAGGGUUUAAAACCCUAAUGCUGAUUGCAUGAAAAAGCUCAGUUUAGAGUUUAAAACUCUAAUGCUGGCUGAAAGGGAAAAGUUCAGUUUAGGGUUUAAAAACCUAAUGCUGACUAAAAGGAAAAUUCAGUUUAGGGUUUAAAACCCUAAUGCUGAUUGCAUGGAAAAGCUCAGUUUAGAGUUUAAAACUCUAAUGCUGGCUGGAAGGAAAAUUCAGUUUAGGGUUUAAAACCCUAAUGCUGAUUGCAUGGAAAAGCUCAGUUU